rnacentral:rRNA from 1 species
AUACGGAGGGGGCUAGCGUUGUUCGGAAUUACAGGGCGUAAAGCGUACGUAGGCGGACUGAUCAGUUGGGGGUGAAAUCCCAGGGCUUAACCCUGGAACUGCCUUCAAUACUGUCAGUCUUGAGUUUGGGAGAGGUGAGUGGAAUUCCUAGUGUAGAGGUGAAAUUCAUAGAUAUUAGGAGGAACACCAGUGGCGAAGGCGGCUCACUGGCCCAUUACUGACGCUGAGGUACGAAAGCGUGGGGAGCAAACAGGAUUAGAAACCCUAGUAGUCC